CAAGAUGUACAACGCUCUUAUCAUCCUUGUGUGGCAGCCAUUUGUCUUGACAAGAAGAUUCAAGAAACAAGGAAUCUCAGGACCAAGGUACAGAUUCUUGUACGGAAACAUCGACGAGAUAAACAAGAUGAAGAUAGAAUCUCACCUUUCGAUUCUUGAUCCAAACUCCAAUGACAUCUUUCCUCGUAUUUUCCCUCAUUACCAACAAUGGAUGACUCUAUACGGUGCCGUUUUCACCAUCUCAAUCUUUCUACUCAUGUGUUUUUUUUUAACUAUGCGUGACACACACGUUUGUUUAUAUGGUAUAUAUGUCACUAGGAGAUACGUUUCUUUACUGGAACGGAACAGAGCCAAUGCUAUGCAUCUCAGAUCUUGAACUCGUCAAGCAAAUCUUGUCAAACAAGUCAGGUUUCUUUGUUAAAUCAAAGAUAAGGCCAGAGUUCUUUAAACUUGUCGGCAUGAAGGGAUUUGCCUUUGUCGAAGAUGUUGACUGGGUUCGCCAUAGGAGAAUCUUGAACCCUGCUUUCUCCAUCGAUAGGCUCAAGGUCAUGACGAAAGUGAUGGUGGAGUGCACACUGAGGGUGCUGGACAAGUGGAGUAAUGUUAAAAGAGAGCAGAAAAUGGAGAUGAACAGAGAGUUUAGGAGAUUAACGGCUGAUAUUAUAGCAACCGCUGCGUUUGGAAGCAGUUACAACGAAGGAAUCGAAGUGUUUAGGACACAAGAAGAGCUUAAGAAGUGUUUUGUUACAUGUCUCACUAACUUCUACAUCCCUGGAACUCGGUAAGCACAACUCUCAGUUCAUGUUUUUUUUUGUUCUGUUCAGACAAGAUUCUCAAGUUCUUGUUUCUUGUUGUCCAAGGUACCUUCCUACGCCUUCGAAUAUUCAUAUCUGGAAGCUUAAAUAGGAAGAUGAAGAACUCAGUCAAGAAGGUUGUAGAUUCUAGACUAGCAUCAAAACAAGAUUAUGGAGACGAUCUUCUUGGAAUCAUGUUGAAAUCUUGCGAGUCAGAAAGGAACGAAAGAAAGCUGAGCAUUGAAGAGAUCAUAGAUGAAUGGAAGACAUUUUUCUUCGGGGGAUACGAAACUAACUCGAAUCUAUUGACAUGGACCACCAUGUUGCUGAGCUUGCACCAAGACUGGCAGGAGAAGCUAAGACACGAAAUCUUCGAAGAGUGCGGUAAAGACAAGACGCCAGAUUCAGACACUUUCUCCAAACUCAAACUGUUAAUAAAAUGUUUACUUGUGGUUCAAGUAAAGGUUUUCCUUGUGGUUGAAGAAACUUAUUUAUCUCUUGUAGAUGAACAUGGUGUUCUUGGAGUCGCUUCGCCUGUACGGACCAGUAUCAUAUUUCUCCAGAGAUGCAACAAAGGAUCUGACGCUAGGGCACCUAAAGAUCCCCAAGGGCACAACGAUAGUUUUCCCUCUUAUGAAGAUGCACAGCGACAAGGCCGUUUGGGGAUCAGACGCUGAUAAGUUCAACCCGCUGCGAUUUGAAAACGGCGUUUCCAGAGCCGCUAGUCACCCAAACGCUCUCCUCGCGUUCUCAAUGGGACCAAGAGCUUGCAUUGGCCAAAACUUUACAAUGAUUGAAGCCAAGGUCGUGCUCACCAUGAUCCUUCAACGGUUCAGGCUUAGCCUCUCAGGCGAGUAUAAACACGCGCCGGUGGAUCACCUCACUCUAACUCCUCAGUACGGCUUACCCGUAAUGCUUCAGCCUCUGUGAGCCUUUAUGAGCCAAAGAGUUAUCAAAUCCUAUAUCGUGCUUUAAGCCGGUUUAAAUAAAUAGUGAUGUGUGCUACUACUUAACUAAACUGCUAUGUGCUAAUUGAUACUUUUUCAGUUGCAUAAUAUAAGAUGGAUGUCUUAUAGAAGAUCUUUUGUUACUUUCAAAACAAUUUUAAUUUUAUUAAAAACUGGUCAACCAAUAUUUAUGAUUGAUUAAUUCAUCUUAAACUUAUACUAUUAAUAGUGAUUUUAACAAAUUUUUCCCAAGAUGUACAACGCUCUUAUCAUCCUUGUGUGGCAGCCAUUUGUCUUGACAAGAAGAUUCAAGAAACAAGGAAUCUCAGGACCAAGGUACAGAUUCUUGUACGGAAACAUCGACGAGAUAAACAAGAUGAAGAUAGAAUCUCACCUUUCGAUUCUUGAUCCAAACUCCAAUGACAUCUUUCCUCGUAUUUUCCCUCAUUACCAACAAUGGAUGACUCUAUACGGUGCCGUUUUCACCAUCUCAAUCUUUCUACUCAUGUGUUUUUUUUUAACUAUGCGUGACACACAC
rnacentral:lncRNA from 1 species